rnacentral:lncRNA from 1 species
AUGGAACAAGGGGAAAAUGGUAUGGAGGCAGAGAUGACGGUUAAAAUCCUUGUCACAUCGUACUUACUUACCAACCCGUAUAUGUCCCGUUUUCGCCUUCUGGUUAUUGCUUCUUUCUAUUGUCUUCACCUGUCUUAUCCUCCAUGGAGAUUGUUGACUAUAUACUACACGGAAAUUAAGGGAGGCAUUACUGCACUGAUGCUGUCAUCUACAAGGCUUAUUCAACUACAAGUUCAUAUCUGUUCGUGA